ACUCCCAAACCCAUGUGAACAUACCCAUUGUUGCCUCGGCAGGUCUCGCGGCCUACCCGGUAAACCUCCCCCCUACCUUGGGGGGCCUUACCUGGGAGGACGCGGGGUACGCCCGCCGGUGGCCCCCGAAACUCUGUUUAAACUUUUGAAAAUCUGAUUUGGAAACAAAAUACGUUAAAACUUUCAACAACGGAUCUCUUGGUUCUGGCAUCGAUGAAGAACGCAGCGAAAUGCGAUAAGUAAUGUGAAUUGCAGAAUUCAGUGAAUCAUCGAAUCUUUGAACGCACAUUGCGCCCACUAGUAUUCUGGUGGGCAUGCCUGUUCGAGCGUCAUUUCGACCCCUUAAGCCCUCGUUGCUUAGCGUUGGGAGCCUACGUGUCUCGCGUAGCUCCUCAAAGUUAGUGGCAGAGUCAGCCCAUACUCUAGGCGUAGUAAUUCCUACCCCGCCUCUGCAGUUGGGCUGCCCCUCGCCGUAAAACACCCCAAAUCUAUCAAGGUUGACCUCGGAUCAGGUAGGGAUACCCGCUGAACUUAAGCAUAUCAAUAAGCGGAGGAAAAGAAACCAACAGGGAUUGCCCUAGUAACGGCGAGUGAAGCGGCAACAGCUCAAAUUUGAAAUCUGGCCUUCGGGUCCGAGUUGUAAUUUGUAGAGGAUGCUUUUGGCGCGGUGCCUUCCGAGUUCCCUGGAACGGGACGCCUUAGAGGGUGAGAGCCCCGUACGGUUGGACACCAAGCCUCUGUAAAGCUCCUUCGACGAGUCGAGUAGUUUGGGAAUGCUGCUCUAAGUGGGAGGUAAAUUUCUUCUAAAGCUAAAUAUUGGCCAGAGACCGAUAGCGCACAAGUAGAGUGAUCGAAAGAUGAAAAGCACUUUGAAAAGAGGGUUAAAUAGCACGUGAAAUUGUUGAAAGGGAAGCGUUUGCGACCAGACCUUUUCCUGGCGGAUCAUCCGGUGUUCUCACCGGUGCACUUCGCCAGGUUGAGGCCAGCAUCGGUUUCUGUAGGGGGAUAAAAGCCUGGGGAACG
rnacentral:rRNA from 1 species